AGCACAUAUUUGUACCAAUCAUGGGAGAUAGCUCGUCAAAGCCAGAAGUUCGGGUUGAACGCAAAGUUCAAGUUGUACAAGAUCCUCCACCAUCUC